AUUGAACGCUGGCGGCAGGCCUAACACAUGCAAGUCGAACGAGUGGCGGACGGGUGAGUAAUGUCUGGGAAACUGCCCGAUGGAGGGGGAUAACUACUGGAAACGGUAGCUAAUACCGCAUACCAUCGGAUGUGCCCAGAUGGGAUUAGCUAGUAGGUGGGGUAACGGCUCACCUAGGCGACGAUCCCUAGCUGGUCUGAGAGGAUGACCAGCCACCCGGGAACGGAGCAACGGUCCAGCCUCAUACGGGAGGCAGAGGUGGGGAAUAUUGAACAAUGGGCGCAACCCUGAUGCAGCCUGGCCGCUUGUAUGAAGAAGUCUUUCGGUUUUUAAAUUACUUUCAGCGGGGAGGCGUUACUCUCAGAAGAAGCCCCGACUAACUCCGUGCCAGCAGCCGCGGUAAUAC
rnacentral:rRNA from 1 species